UUAAAGAAUCUCUGGUCAAGUACUUGGUUGCUAGUUGGUCAGAUGAUUGCAAUGUGAAACACUUGGGAACCAAAACCUUGUAUGCAAAUGAUGGCGACACCUGCUACAAAUAUGUGGUGGAAGGGAAUUCGGUCAUGAAAUCAGAAGAAUCAAGAUACAGCAAUGACCACGAAGAAGCAGACGCAAGAAUGUUCUUCCAUGUGCACAAGAUAACUGGACAGAAAAACAUAGUGAUAAGAACGAAUGACACUGACUGCUUAGUUAUUGGUCUUGGAUCUCAGUCAAACUUCUGUAAUCACAAGGUUUGGAUAUAUGCAGGACUAGUCUCAAGCAAUACACGAAGGUACAUCGACAUGACCAAGCUUGCAGCAAACCUAGGCGAGUCAUUGUGUUCAGCGAUGCCCGCAUACCAUGCAUUCACUGGCUGCGACUACACUGCAGCAUUUUCCCGAAAAGGAAAAGUUCGGCCACUAAAGAUCUUGGAGAAGAGCGCCAAUUUCCAGAACUCUUUCACAGCCUUAGAGAAGGAACAAACAAUAUCAGAUGAAACUUUUUCAUCAAUUGAGAAGUUCACAGCUGAAAUAAGAACAUAAGAACAUAAGAACGCAGGAGUCUGCAAGAGGCCGGUAGGCCUGUACGAGGCAGCUCCUUUGACCCUAAGCUCCUGUGUAUCUAAUCCCACCUAAUAUCGCUGUCCAUGAAUUUAUCUAGUCUAUUUUUGAAUGUGACAAUUGUAUUGGCACUCACCACAUGACUGCUAAGCCUAUUCCACUCCUCCACCACCCUGUUAGUAAACCAAUGUUUGCCUAUGUCCCUGUUGAAUCUGAAUUUAUCCAGUUUAAACCCAUUACUUCGUGUCCUACCCGGUUCUCUUACCAACAAAACCUUCUGAAUGUCUCCCUUAUUAAAGCCCUUCAUCCAUUUAUAAACCUCGAUCAUGUCUCCACGCACCCUUCGCCUUUCUAGAGAAUGCAAGUUUAACUGUUUGAGUCUUUCCUCGUAUGGCAAGUUUCUCAACCCCUGAAUCAUCUUAGUCAUCCUCCUCUGCACCGAUUCUAACAUUUUGAUAUCCAUUCUAUAGUAGGGUGACCAGAACUGAACCACAUAGUCAAGAUGAGGUCUAACUAAUGCUAAAUAUAGUUUGAGGAAGACUUCGGGGCUUCUGUUGCUUACGCUCCUUGAAAUAAAUCCCAGUACCCUAUUAGCUCGAUUUCUAGCUUGAAUGCAUUGUGCCCUUGGACGGAGAUCAGAGCUCACUAAGACCCCUAAAUCCCUCUCGCACCCAGACCUACUUAUGAGAGUGUCAUUUAAGCAAUAGUACGGUAAAAGGAAAAGUCAAUUCAUCAAUGAUAUACGAUUGGAAUUAUUCCUAGAACGGUACAAACCUUCUGGUAAAUUGGAUGAAGCGCGCAUCAGCUGUUUGAAAAAAAUGGACGGAAGCACCCUCCCACCGUGUCACAAUGUCCUGAAGCAGAAAAUAAAGAGAGUACACCUCAUAGCUAACAGGUGGAAUUCUGUUGACCUUGCUACUCAGAGUCCUAUCUCGCCAACAGAGUCUGGAUGGACUUUGGGAUAUGGUAGUUACCAGAUUCUUUGGACAGAAGGUGACUUGUACCCCAAGACAAUCGACUUGCUGCAGAAUGACAAGGAUGGCUCCGAUGAUGAAGAUAUUAAUGACUGCACAGAUGACUUGGCAAUGGAAAGUGACACUGAUGCAGAUGAUACUACUGACGAUGAAACUGAAAACAGCGAGUGACUGUAAAGACCAAUGAAUACACGUUAACAUAUUGAGAAACAAUAUACUCUUGAAAAAAUAUAUGUAAAAUGUCUUCCAUACUCUAUGCUAUACUAUAUGCAUCAGGUAUUUCCAACGAAUGCUAGUUUUUAUGUCUGCCUUAGUUAUGCUCCUUCUACCUAUAGUAGAAAUCUGAAACCUCUAGGAACAGGUUUUUUUUGUUGUUAUCCUUAGGAACAAAGAUAUGCAAAUUUUGGGGGUCAGCUCACCCUAACUCACCCCCCUUAAAUCCUUAAAUCAAGCCAGUUUAAAUGUCAGCAUCAGUUUAACUAUUUAUUCUACCUAUGGUAGAAAUCUGAAAGUUGUACGAACAGGUUUUUUUGUUGUUAUCCUUAGGAACAAAGAUGUAAGUUUUUGGGGGUCAGCUGACAUUAACUUACCACCCUUUAAUCAUGUCAGUUUAUAUGUCAAUAUUAGUUAAACUAUUUUCUCUACCUAUGGUAAAAAUCUGAAUGUUGUACGAACAGUUUUUGUUGUUGUUGUUGUUAUCCUUAGGAACAAAGAGAUGUAAAUUUUGGGGGUCAGCUGACACUAACUUACCACCCUAUAAUCAUGUCAGUUAAUAUGUCAAUAUUAGUUAAGCUACUUAUUCUACCUAUGGUAGAAAUCUGAAUGUUGUACGAACAAUUUAUUUUAUUUUACCCCUAGGAACUAAAUGGGACACAUUUUGGGGGUCAGCUGACUCCAUCUUACCACCAGAAAAAUAAGUCAGUUUUUACUCCAACAUUACUUUUGUUACUUAAAGUAACUAUAUAAUAAAUAUAAAAACUGUAA